AUAAGGUGUAGCGAAGUGUUGCCUUUUUCUUAUGGGGAAAACCAGCUCUGCGUGCCAGCGCUGCUUCUUUUUCC